UUGGAAGAAUGAAAAACGAUUCACUACCUAUAAAAAGGGAAAAUAUAUAUGUCGUUCUUUAAUUUGAAAGGAAGACAAAACAUCUCCAUAGCCCUUGCUCCCCUUGGAAACUUGAAGAAGCACAACUCAUCUGGCAUUGAAGAAUCAACUCAAAUCUUCUCAAGCCAACAACUGGGCAUUGUCCCUAGGAAACAGGAUUGCAGACCAAACAUCCAAGUCUGACUUGUUAAAGCUAUGAAUAGCUGUUGCCUUUUCUUGCUGGUCCUUUCCUUGCUUCUCCUUCCUGAUUAUGGUUUUGCUGGAACUACCAGCAUAAAGGAUCCAGGAACAUGCCAACACCUUGGUGGCAUUUGCAGAAAAACAAGGUGUCCUGAGUCGUAUUCAGUAAUUGGGCGCUGUACUCCAAAACAAGCCUGCUGCAAAAAGACUUGAAGAAUGACCACAUGCUGCAUCAAUUCCAGGUUUACAGAUGAUCAAUGGAUUUUGGUAUUUUCACUGAAAAAUCACAAAAUAAUUCCACCAUGAAUCCUGGGGGAAGCUUCCACCAAAGAAAAUAAAAGUGUCCUUGCAAAUAAUUAAUUCCUGUGACUUUCUGUGCUCACCUUUCCCUGUCUUCCUAUCUUGAGAUACUUUUAGAUGUCACAGGCAAAUGUGACAAUAGAAGUCAAAUUAUGUGCCUUGACAUUGUUCUUGAAAAAUCAAGCUCACAUAUAAGUUGAUAAAAUGCUCACUCUACCAUCAUAUUUUCCCUGGUUAGAACCAAAUUCAGAGGUGAAAAAUGCAGAAUCUCAAACUAUGUCACAUUAAACACAUAUUUCAUAUUGAUGGAGACAUCUCAUUUGUACUGCAUUUCAGCUGCAAGAGAUAGAAUGCCGGCCUGAAAAAUGCUUCUCCUGAGUUCAAGAACUUCAAUGAAAUCUUUUCUUUGAAAGCUUCAGAUAUUUUUAUCUUAAUAAAAAUGAUGAUGUGACACCUUUA